rnacentral:lncRNA from 1 species
ACAAGGAGAAGGCCCUGCUGCAGACAAGCAGCUAGAGUGAGAAUAAAAACAACAGGAUCACAGGGGCAACUCUGCACGAUCCAUGUGACAUUGGAGAAGGAUCAUCUGACUUCAUCACAGGGAGGGGGCGGAGCGUUCUCUGAGAAGGUUCGGAGUGAGCUGUACCUGGCCAGUCUUGGGGGAGGAGCAGCAUUUCACCAGGCUGCAGCUGACAAGAAGCUUCAAGACAGCCUGUCUCUUUUUGGAGUAAGAAUCAAGACAACCAGAUCACAGAGACAGACCCUUCCUGAUCCACGUGACAUUGGGUGGUGAGCUGCUUAUGAGAUAAUGAACCUCCUUAUCAGGGAGGGGCUCAAGAAAAGCUGUGGCAACAACUGAUGGCGACAUUGAGGAAGGCCUUCAUCCUCCAGGAAGCUGAGCUCACAGUGAAUCCCUUGGCCAGUUUCUGAUCUCAGAAUUCAGUGUAAAUAGCCUCAAGUCUCACCCACCUGCCUCUGGCAGAACUGGUGGGCAUCCCACAUCUUUCCUUCCAGUGGCUUCACCAUGUUACAAAGGCAAGCUGUGCAAUUAGCCCCUUCCCUGGAGCCCACUGCCUGAGACAUACUUUGGUACAUCCAUACAGGCAGGGACAUGUACACUGAAAAAUAAUAUGGAUGAUUGCUACCAGUAAAUAUGACUACAUAUCUAGUGUGUAUGAGCCUGAGGUUAAGUGCUUCCAUAGAAUGGCUGAAGGAUUAGUUGGCAGCAUUGACAGGCAAAUACUAGAUGCUGAGUUAAAUUUGAAUUUUACAUAAAAAAUGGGGGAAAAUUCAACUAUGAGUAUAUCCCACACAAUAGCUGGAAUAUACUUAUACUAAUAAAAAUGAUUUGUUGUUUAUCUAAAAUUCCAAUUUAAAAAUAAAUAAAUAAAUGUUUAUCUACUGGCAAUUUAAAUACUGAAAAUUGUAGUCCAGCAUUUCUAGACUGAAAUCUUAUGCUCCCAUGAACUGUGGGUCCCACACUACCAGAAAUAGCUUUGGACUUCUUUUAAACACUCUUAUUAAUCCUUGAUAUUCCAGAUGAAACAUAGCAUACAUUUCUGACCUCUAAUCAAGCCUUGCAUUGAAGAGAUAUUGAUAUUUUGUCUAUUUGUCAGAAAAGGAGACUGGGACACAGAUCAGCUAAGGAAAAUGCUUACAACCAUGCACUCAAACCUCAGUUAGUGUACUCAAUGAUUCUCUAGUUGGAAAGCUACUCAUGGAAUUUCCCUACUGUUUUACAGCCAUGAAAAAAUGUAACAGCUAUAAUGUGGGUUGUGAUAUCUGUCUUGGUUUUCUCCUCACAGAGAAACUGUUGAAAACUCUCCUUCACUAAUAUGCAGGUAUGACUCUGUCCCACCUGGCCUUAUUCCUAUGUAUCCCAGGAAGAAUGUGGUGGCUUCUUAAUUAAGAG